rnacentral:rRNA from 1 species
UACGUAGGGGGCAAGCGUUGUCCGGAUUCAUUGGGCGUAAAGAGCGUGUAGGCGGCCAGGUAGGUCGGUUGUGAAAACUGGAGGCUCAACCUUCAGAGGUCGACCGAAACCAUCUGGCUAGAGUCCGGGAGAGGAGAGUGGAAUUCCUGGUGUAGCGGUGAAAUGCGUAGAUAUCAAGUGGAACACCAGUGGCGAAGGCGAAUCCCUGGAAAAUACCUGACACUGAGGCACGAAAGCUAGGGGAGCAAACAGG